UCCCUGGAGAAUUAGUGGUUAGGCCUUGGCGCGCUCACCGCCGUGGCCUGGGUUCGAAUCCUGGCCAGGCAA